UCAAAGCAGAGCAUCUGAACUUAACCACUACGCCACCGGGCUGGCCCCUGGAUGAUUUUUUUUUUAAGAUUAAACUUGUGUUAUUUGCCUCUGAUUAUUAAAAUACUAUACAUUUAUUAAAAUUCUGAUAAUAUAGAAAAGCUGAAAUUGAAAGCAAUAAUUGGGCUGAGUAAGAUUGCAAAUUGUGGCGAAAGAAGAGAACAUGGUUCAGGCAAGGAUACAGGAUUUGCAGAGCUUCUUUUCAUUUCACUACAACUUUAGACACUUUCUGUCGAUGUUUUUCCCUGUAACUAAAUUUUUCAAUUUUCAAAAGAAAGAUGAAUACAGAUGGACUUUGCUUUAAGAAAACCCGAGCCCGGCAGAAUUGGAUUUACAAAGUGGAUCUAUCAGGAGGUGACUGAGUUUUACUCUGAACUGCACAAAACUUCUCAGGAAUUCAUGUGUUGUAUAAAGUCAACUUGAAAUAUUUUCACUUGAUAACGACUUGGAGAUUCUUGGGAUAAAUAUAAUUCACACCAAUAAGGACAGUAAACCCUUGUUUAGAAAGUGCUCUGCUGUUGUAGAUUAUGUUACAUUGGAUUGUUGAUCCAAUCAUUUCCCAGAUACACCCUGGAUAUACAACUUGAAUAAAACAGCCUAUGAAGCAAAUAUUAUUCGUGCAUUCUGACACCAGUGUCAUAGUAGGGUUCUCCUGAAUUAUUAGUAAAAAACAUUUUCGAUGAGAUUGCUAGCCCUGGAUGCAAGCUAUAGUGAGACACUGAUGUUUUUCACAUUUGCAUCAUCACGCUGAGGGUUACUGUAAUGGCAUUCUCACGUCACACAACAUUGGGGCCAAAAUGAGUUUUUCCUAAAAGAGGCCUUCUUCACGAGGUAGCCCCAGCCGUUUCACACUGUUUCUUUCAAGCCUCUGUUUCAGCAGACAUUUGCCUCUCUUGUUUUAUCUGCCUGCAAGAAAUAACUACAACCCACAUUGUGAAUUACAAUUUUAACUAUAUUGGAAAGUGGGUAUUUAAAAACCAGAAUAUAUGUUUUGGAUAGGCAAGCUUAAAAUGGGGAAGAGCAGACAGCCCAGUCAUCAAAGGAUAAAAAUCUAUACUAAUCUUAAAAGCAAAACACGGCACAGAAUUUCUUGUCUAUUUUUCUACAAAAGAAGGCCAUUGUACUUCCAUUCCUGGCCAUGUCAGCGGUGAUGGGCGCCCCCCCAACCCUUCUUUUUUCCGAGCAUUGAUUGUUGACUUCCCCUGACACCCCAUCACAACCCAUUAGUACUGAAAACCGACAGGCCCAGCAACAACAGCAAAAAGGCAAGUUUGAAAGAAAAUAUCGAAAGCACGGGCAGAGCUCGGCUGUUAGGAUCCACACCAGCCCCAGAUGCAACAACUCCUUCUCCUCGCCCCCACGGCACCUCUGUGAAGGGCAGCCAAAUCAGCAGAUUUUCUUUAAUCCAGACUCCAAGGUCUGGAGGAAAUGACGAGGAGUAUCGCUGUAUUUUUCCUUUCAUUUUCAAAGGAAUUUGGGUUGAGGAAUAUGAAAACAGAGUUGGCUAAAGUGCUUUUGCUGAUAACGCUAAUAUCCGUUAGGUCUCUUUUCAGACCCAAGUGUUUCGGAUGUUAGUGGCUCCGCAGUCCUGGGCUCCUGAAGGCCACACUCGAAACCCUGGCAGCUUCUUAAGUGAGGAGUCUUUUUCUUCUGUUUUUUAUUUGGCAGCGUUAUCUGGUGUCUGUGUCCCCAGAGUCACAGUAAUGGCAUUAGCAAGCAUUGACUGUGGUUGUACAGUUGAUUGCCCAGGGGAGAAAAGUGACAACUCUAGAUUUCCAAUAGACCUUGUAUUUGCAGAGAGAGAAGUUCAGGUGAGGGCAGCCAACUUGUCAAAAUCUUAAGAGCCAGCACACAAGUUGAAUCUAACUUUAGAUGAAAGCCUGGAUGCAAGUUUUGUAUAGAGAGAUGGGGGACCCGAACAAACAGUGGUCCUCACCCAUCUAAGUAAAAAACCUAGCUGCAAAUGGUCAUUGAAUCAAGAGUGGGUAAGAACAAAGAGCCAAACCAGAAAGCAGCAUGGAGCUGGAGUUGGUGUAUCGUUACCCUCCGUGGAGGGCGGAGAGGAGGCAGGGAUCAAGGUGGGCUAACAGCAAUUAUGAUCCAGCUCAGGAACCGGCGCUGGAAACACGGGAUUUAGCACCAUUCUUGCCAGGUGUAGACAGCUUUAGGAAGGAAAACAAGAACAGGUCCCUCCAGUGAGUUUUAUGGCCGCCUCCACCAUCAAGCCUGGGUGUGCUUGUGGGGUGCUCAUUCUCCUCUUCACCUCGCAUCAUGUUUUGUGACCUACCUUGCUGCUGAUGUGUUUCUUGCUAGUCUGGACCCCUAGGAGAGGUCUGGGAAGUCUGGCGUGUCGGCCACCUCUGAAGUCCUAUGGCUCAGACAGACCUACUCUCCCGCCGCCCUGACAGCUAGUGGCCUAGGACGACUCCCAGGUUUCCCCCAAGGCCUCCAGACUCUCUCCCUCUGGAAAGACGCCUGCCCUGGCAGAGGAAGGGCCCUUGGGAAAUCCCAGUGCCUCUAGGCUUUGGGGCCUCCUGUUCUCAGCUCCUCCCAACCUUGCUUCAUCCGACAGGCUGGAUACUGGGCCCCGUCAGAGGGUGCUCUUUAGUGAGGCCGUGCAACCUGUAGAUGUCAGGCCUGACUUGGCCACAGAGCUGCUGCCUGGGGCCUGUUCUAGCAUCCAGCCCGCUAAACCUGGGAGUUGCAGCUUCAGCUUUGCAUUCAGCUCUGAAUCAGUCCUUUUCAUCUGCUGAGGGGACCUGGCCUUGCGUUGUCCUUGGUCGUCAAAUUACGGCCUCAUGCCUGGUCACAGAGACCCAAUCGGUGCCUCAGGGCCGAGGUUCCUGUCUUGACUGCAGCGUCUGCGGACUCAGCCUCCUCUGCCUGGUUCUGGGCCAGCUCCCUCCCUGCCAUCUCCUUCCUGGACACCUGUGGGCGUGCUGGAGCUCCCUGCUUCACCUGUUCUCCUCUGACUAAGGUCAACCUUUGCGUUUGGUCUGGGUUUGGAUCCUUGGCUGAAGGCAUGUAGGCAUCUUUGAGUAAAGACAGCUUUAGAAGAAGUAUGUUAAGAAAUGGGCCCAAUGGUGUGAAUGUUUAUGCAUUUUGAUGUGUGCAAAAGCAGAGAGGAGCAGAUUAGAAGAGGAAAGAAGGGGAUUAAAAAUUAUUUCAAAUAAUAAACCAACAGAACCUGGUACAGCAUUUUCCCUAACUCCGAGUUAAUAAAAAAAACCUUCACCUGAUCCUGGCAAAUCUUUGUUUAGCAGACUUGGGUGGGGCUUUCCACAGCAAGGUUUCUCUGCUUACCUGGGGACAUGUCAUAGACUUCUAAAACCAUUAGAGUUGGAAGUGCUUUAAUUUUGAGAGUUCCUCUAGGCACUUAUUAAGUAGACUCAUGGGUAGUACUCGUAAACCUACUAAACAAAAUUUGAGAGAAACACAGUGUCUUGAAAUUUGGAAAUGCUGCAGAGAUUGACUGGCACCAUCAGCUAGAAAUGCAUCACCUGAGAAGCCAGGGCCAGCAUUACAUACAGAGACAAUGAUGCUUAAUUAUUUGUAAUAAACUAGGACCAAAUCAAGAAGUCUAACAGCCCCAGCCUGAGCACUGGGCACAUUAUUAUUUCCUGUCUCUACCCAGCAACCUACCUCAAACUGGAUAAGUCACCAUAAAAGACACCUCUUAGCAAAGUGACCCUGGUUCGGCAGCGCUUUGCUGCAGGCUGCGUUUGGCUUCCCAGCUGGAGCUGGGUCCUCUUUACCCUGUGAGGUCACUGUCCCCUGCACGGUGCCAGGUGAUUUUUCAUUAUGCGGUAAAACACUUCCCAGCAGGCUGUUUUCAUUACAGUGAUGGGAGAGUCUCUUGAUUUGUUUUUAUCAUGUCAUGGCCCACAAACCUUGAAAGGACCCAACUGCCGCCCACGUCACUCUAAAGCUCUUUUGUGAACGUGAGCCUUCGCCCCGCCUCACCACUGCCCUCCUGGGGCCCAGGACCCCCCUCAUCUGCUCCACACCAUUCCCGCCAUGAUUCCCCACCAGUCUCACUGUCUAUCAUUCGUUGCCGUUGCAAUAAUAAUGAGAGCUACAACUAUUGAGUGCCUACCAUAUGCCGGGCUAUUAAAUCCUGGAAAUAAAACCGUGAGGUGGUUACUGCAGAAAGUUCUAGUACUGUGUGCAAGGACAUGCCCAGUGCGCGGUGGAGCCAGGAUUUGAGUCCAGGGGUCUCCCAACCCAUAACACGUAACCAUCUCCCUCUACUGCCUUUCCACACAUAAGAAAACAUACUGUCUUUCUUGGUCCUUUUCUCAGGAGAGUGCGCCAUCUCCACGACACGGCUCAAACUCUACCUAUAAUCGGACUCAUUUGCCCCUUAUCCUCCCUGAAUACUUAGCAUUUCAGUUUCUGUGAACAGAAUUUAAUGCCUAUUGCUUUAUCGUUGGGAGUAUGAAGUGAUGACUGUUUCCAAUCAACCACAUAGCAUUCAUCUUUAAAAGCUCGUUAUGUGAUACGUCAUAGGUUUGGUUUGUGGUUUAUAAGCCAAAUCGUGGCUGGUAAAAUUUUCAAAUGGGCAUAUCCAUUGCAAGAUUUAAUGGAUUUCAAAACAAGUUUGCACAUGACCAGAGAUCAUGGAAAUAUAUAAUUAUAUUGAAGUUUACAGAUCAAAAAUCAUCUACACUUGUGGUUAAUUGUAUAUAUGAGUUAUUUGUAUAUAAAUAUACACUUAUAUAAUAAGUACAUCUAUAUCUAUACAGAUAUCUCCAUAUAUACAUAAUUUGGCCAUUUGUUUUUUAUGUGCAUGACUUCUCUCCACUCCUACACCCUUGACUGAAUUACCUCAAGCCUGAGCCCUAUUAUCGUUUGGACCUGAAGCACAAUGAAGAUGACAUUUCAACCUGCAAAAGAGAGAUCUCCAGUGUAUAACAGAUAUCAACAUGGACUCUUCUGAAGCUGGUUUAUACACUUACUGAGCAUAAUUAGCUAUUUUGAUUUGAUUUGCGAAAUAACUGUUUUCGCAAAGUUUUUUUUGCGUUUCCAUGUUUUUACAAGAGAAAGCCUAUUUGUCAGAAUCCCAAAUACAACAGUACAACAAUUAAAAAGUGCGUCUGGAUGGACUUCAAGCAAGAUGUCAAAAAGAAGCUGUCAUUCUCUGACAUGGAGGUAAAAACGUGCCUGGCCCAGGAGUUGAAGAGACUGAAGAAGGAAAUCUGACAGGAGCUGGCUGAUGCCUCAAGCCUACAAAGUAAGUCAGCAGGUAUUGGUGGAAGAUGUCGUCUGAAAAAAACUAUUCAUUCAUUGUAAGAAGAAGAUCUUACCUUCAAGUGGUAUCCUUUAAAAUUGGUUUCUUUGUUGUUGUUGUUGAUAUUUACUUUUAGGGAUUUAGGAAUUAGUCCUUCUGAAAGGAAAGCUAUUUCUGAAUUCUGAGCUGUAGCAAUCUUAGGUGCAAGUGGAAAAAUGCCCUCGGUGAAGUUUCUGUUGUCUUCUUUAUUUUAACAGGUAGUUGCACAGUGCUACGGCAUGGGAAAUUCACGUUCAACACACUCAUUUCAUAGAGGGGGAAACUGAGGCAAGAGCAAUUGGAAGCCUGAGGAGCAAGUUACUCAGGUUCACGAGCCAACUGAAGACAUGAAUAGAGUUUGGCUUUAUAUGCUCUAAUCUUAAGCUGAGAAAAAUCUUACACCAUUUGACUUUCUCAUAGUGUUUUUGCUUAUAUUUGUAAAUCAGAGAAACGUCUUAGACCCAUCUCCUUGCAUGAUUUUGGCUGAGAUUUUGCUGAUGUUUUGGCCGUUGGCUUCCAUCUCUUUACAUUGUUUAGGUGACUCUUGGAUAUCUCCACAUCUUUAGCUUGCUUGGUUCAUCUUUUGUAAACCUAUACACAGCAGGAAAAUUAACAUCCUUUCAAAUAUGUGUAGAGAUUCUUCUGAGUGACUUCCAUUUUCCCUAGUCACCCUGCCUCGGGAUUUUAAUUGUGCUGAAUCCUUGUCUAGUUAGCUGCUGUAUUUGUUGUCUUUCCCUCAUUGUCUCCAUGCUCUUGUGAGCCCUGGCCCUAAUUAUGUGAAUCCCUUCCCAGCUCUGCUUCAGUGGGGUCAUGUUGGUAGCUUGGAAAUGACUGUAAUGGACGUAUUUACACCAUGGGAAUUGGGAAACACUAUCUGUCUAGACUUUUAUUCUCAAGAGAGCAAUUGUUAAACAUUUACCAGAACACUCAUGUCUUAAUCCUUCCAUACAGCAAAGUACUAUCAACUCAAAGAUGGAUGUAGGUUUGGUGCCACCGUAGUGGAGUUUCAUCACACACUUGAGUAUUGCAAACAAAUUAAGGGAAUAUUAGCUCUUCUUGUUCAUAAACUCCCUUGACUAUUCCUGCUUCCAUGGAUCAUUAACUUGUUUCUCUUCUCUUCAGGCUCCAGACUCUCACAUGGAUGGUUGGGAAAGAGUAGGAAUGCAGUCAUUCUUCUUCUGUUUUUUCCUGCAACCCACAGUUUGCAUGACUACAGGGAACAUCAUUCACAGUAUAUUGUAUAUUCCACAACAUGUGAAUGGAGUCCCCUGGCGAGGCAGUGGUGUUGACUCUGUAUCCCCGAUCCCAACAGUAACAUGUUUUCUAGGUCUGCCUUGGUUUUGCAGCACCAUGGAAUUGGGGUACAGACCAAAGCAAGGGCCACAAAGUAGAUAUUUCACCGGAGCUGUGUAUUAGCCUCAGUGUUCCCAGGCACGCCAUCAACAGAGCUAAUGAGAAGAGCUACUGCUGCUGCCACCACCAUGGGGUUCUCUCUGGGGGCUCCCCCAAAGCAUCAAUAACAGGCCCACAGCUGGGAUUAGUACACAGUGAAUUAUGAAGCUAGGGUGUCACUUUCCACAUUGUUGUGCCAUGUGCCAGUGACUUAAGCUUUUGCUAUUUUGUUUUUUUACCUGUAAAAUGAGUACAAUGUCAGUUGACUUUUCUUUUAUAAAAACCACAACAGGACUCAUUAUGUUAUGUAAUCUUUGUGAGAAGCCUAUAUGCUAAUAACAAUAAAAUGAUUUCAACAACUACUGUCGAUUGAUCCCUUCUUAUCUGCCACCAUUAUCUUGGGUGUUUUACACAAAUUACCCCGUUUGAUUUUUAUAAAACCCUUAUGGGGUAGA